GAUGAACGCUGGCGGCGUGCCUAAUACAUGCAAGUCGAACGAAACUUCUUUAUCACCGAGUGCUUGCGCUCACCGAUAAAGAGUUGAGUGGCGAACGGGUGAGUAACACGUGGGCAACCUGCCCAAAAGAGGGGGAUAACACUUGGAAACAGGUGCUAAUACCGCAUAACCAUAGUUACCGCAUGGUAACUAUGUAAAAGGUGGCUAUACUACCGCUUUUGGAUGGGCCCGCGGCGCAUUAGCUAGUUGGUAGGGUAAAGGCUUACCAAGGCAAUGAUGCGUAGCCGAAUUGAGAGGUUGAUCGGCCACAUUGGGACUGAGACACGGCCCAAACUCCUACGGGAGGCAGCAGUGGGGAAUAUUGGACAAUGGGCGAAAGCCUGAUCCAGCCAUGCCGCGUGUGUGAAGAAGGUCUUCGGAUUGUAAAGCACUUUAAGUUGGGAGGAAGGGCAGUAAGUUAAUACCUUGCUGUUUUGACGUUACCAACAGAAUAAGCACCGGCUAACUUCGUG
rnacentral:rRNA from 1 species